UAUCGUCCCGAAAAGAAUAAAUACGUUGCCGAGGUAUAUAUAUAGAGAAAAUCUGUCGCAACUUCUACAAAUAUUUUUUGUGAGAAGAAUAUAGGAGAAUAUAGUAUUGUAAAGAAUAGAGCAGAAUGAAGACUAUUUUGCUUGCUACGUGUCUGCUAGUCACGGUAGUCGGUUACGCAGUUGAUUAUAAAGGAA